CCUACGGGGGGCAGCAGUGGGGAAUAUUGGACAAUGGGCGAAAGCCUGAUCCAGCCAUGCCGCGUGUGUGAAGAAGGCCUUCGGGUUGUAAAGCACUUUCAGUGGGGAAGAAAGCCUUGGGGCUAAUACCCUCGAGGAAGGACAUCACCCACAGAAGAAGCACCGGCUAACUCCGUGCCAGCAGCCGCGGUAAUACGGAGGGUGCGAGCGUUAAUCGGAAUUACUGGGCGUAAAGCGCGCGUAGGCGGUCUGAUAAGCCGGUUGUGAAAGCCCCGGGCUCAACCUGGGAACGGCAUCCGGAACUGUCAGGCUAGAGUGCAGGAGAGGAAGGUAGAAUUCCCGGUGUAGCGGUGAAAUGCGUAGAGAUCGGGAGGAAUACCAGUGGCGAAGGCGGCCUUCUGGACUGACACUGACGCUGAGGUGCGAAAGCGUGGGUAGCAAACAGGAUUAGAUACCCCAGUAAUC
rnacentral:rRNA from 1 species